GACGAACGCUGGCGGCGUGCCUAAUACAUGCAAGUAGAACGCUGAAGGAGGAGCUUGCUUCUCUGGAUGAGUUGCGAACGGGUGAGUAACGCGUAGGUAACCUGCCUGGUAGCGGGGGAUAACUAUUGGAAACGAUAGCUAAUACCGCAUAAUAGCAGUUGUUGCAUGACAACUGUUUGAAAGGUGCAAUUGCCCCACUACCAGAUGGACCUGCGUUGUAUUAGCUAGUUGGUGGGGUAACGGCUCACCAAGGCGACGAUACAUAGCCGACCUGAGAGGGUGAUCGGCCACACUGGGACUGAGACACGGCCCAGACUCCUACGGGAGGCAGCAGUAGGGAAUCUUCGGCAAUGGACGGAAGUCUGACCGAGCAACGCCGCGUGAGUGAAGAAGGUUGUCGGAUCGUAAAGCUCUGUUGUAAGAGAAGAACGAGUGUGAGAGUGGAAAGUUCACACUGUGACGGUAUCUUACCAGAAAGGGACGGCUAACUACGUG
rnacentral:rRNA from 1 species